GACGAACGCUGGCGGCGUGCUUAACACAUGCAAGUCGAACGGAAAGGCCCUGUAUUUGUGGGGUGCUCGUGUGGCGAAAGGGUGAGUAUCACGUGAGUAACCUGCCCUUGUCUUUGGGAUACCUCCAGGAAACUGGGGCUAAUAUCGGACAGGAGCACCUGAUGCACGGUGGGGGUUGGAAAGUUUCGGAGGUUGGGGAUGGACUCGCGGUCUAUCAGUGUGUUGGUGGGGUAGUGGGGUACCAAGGCAUCGACGGGUAGCCGGCCUGCGAGGGUGACCGGCCACAUUGGGACUGAGAUACGGGCCGGAGUCCUACGGGAGGCAGCGGUGGAAGAUAUUGCGCGAUGGGCCGAGGCCGGAUGCAGCAUCGCCGCGUGCUGGAUGACGGCCUGCGGGGUGUAAACCGCUUUCGCCUGUAACGAAGCGUAAGUGACGGUAAUUGGUAAAAAAGCACCGGCUAACUACGUG
rnacentral:rRNA from 1 species